rnacentral:rRNA from 1 species
UGGGGAAUAUUGCGCAAUGGGGGAAACCCUGACGCAGCGACGCCGCGUGCGGGAUGACGGCCUUCGGGUUGUAAACCGCUUUUGAUUGGGAGCAAGCGCAAGUGAGUGUACCUUUCGAAUAAGGACCGGCUAACUACGUG